rnacentral:tRNA from 1 species
GGGCACGUAGCUCAGUGGUUUAAAGCAUCGCCAUUAAUGCGGAAGGACGCGGGUUCGAAUCCCGCCGAGUCCA